GUUGCAAAGCCCCAAUAAUGCCCUACAUCACUCGUGCUGGCGGUGGUGGAGCAAGAGGUGAAACAGAAGGCUGGUGACAUUUCACAUGGCAUUCUGUUACACGGUUCCCACUGAUUUACUUCUCUACCUUCCAAGCGGAGUAUGAGCCCUUCAAGGGCAAGGCUGUGUUUCGCUUGUGACUGCAUCUUUGGCAUUGGCCCAUUCAGCGUAUCGUGGCUGGAUGAGAUGGGCAUUGACCCCUGACCGCCUGAGGAGAUUCGUACCUGUCUAUUCUCUCCCCUUCCCAAGGGAGGAAUCUGUGCAGUGUAAGAGCAGGGGAUGCAAAGCAUUUCAUAUUUGUAAACGUUCAUCCGAUACCCUAAACAAGCUCCUUCAGCACAAUCCUGUGAGAGCAGAAGCUGACACUGCUGGAUUUGUUCUCUUUUCUCUGUUCUUUCAUUGAAGAGAAAUUCUGCACAUAGUCAAGAGAGACGAAAAGAAAACCAACCCCCUUCACAGAACUAGAACAAAUAAUACUAAAAUUUGUAUGGAACCACAAAAACCCUGAAUACUCAAAGCAAUCUUGAGAAAGAAGAACAAAGCUUGUAUCACAAUCCCCGAGUUCAAGAUCUACGACAAAGC